UACAGAGGGUGCAAGCGUUAAUCGGAAUUACUGGGCGUAAAGCGCGCGUAGGUGGUUUGUUAAGUUGGAUGUGAAAGCCCCGGGCUCAACCUGGGAACUGCAUUCAAAACUGACAAGCUAGAGUAUGGUAGAGGGUGGUGGAAUUUCCUGUGUAGCGGUGAAAUGCGUAGAUAUAGGAAGGAACAUCAGUGGCGAAGGCGACCACCUGGACUGAUACUGACACUGAGGUGCGAAAGCGUGGGGAGCGAACAGG
rnacentral:rRNA from 1 species